rnacentral:rRNA from 1 species
UACAGAGGUUGCAAGCGUUGUUCGGAUUUAUUGGGCGUAAAGGGUCCGUAGGCGGUUUGGAAAGUCGGGUGUGAAAUCCUACAGCUUAACUGUAGAACUGCAUUCGAAACUUCCAGACUAGAGUAUGAGAGGGGUUAAGGGAAUUCCCGGUGUAAGGGUGAAAUCUGCAGAGAUCGGGAGGAACACCAGUCGCGAAGGCGCUUAACUGGCUCAUUACUGACGCUCAGGGACGAAAGCUAGGGUAGCAAACGGG